GACAGAGGUGCCAAGCGUUAGGCGGAAUCACUGGGCUUAAAGCGUGUGUAGGCGGAUGCCUAAGUACCUUGUGAAAUCCCACGGCUCAACCGUGGAACUGCUUGGUAUACUGGACGUCUUGAGCCAGCUAGGGGCUACCGGAACAAAUGGUGUAGCAGUGAAAUGCGUAGAUAUCAAGUGGAACACCAGUGGCGAAGGCGAGUCUCUGGACAUUUCCUGACGCUGAGGCACGAAAGCCAGGGGAGCAAACGGG
rnacentral:rRNA from 1 species